rnacentral:rRNA from 1 species
UACGUAAGUGGCGAGCGUUAUCCGGAAUUACUGGGCGUAAAGCGCACGUAGGCGGAUUUGUUAGUCAGGGGUGAAAUCCCGAGGCUCAACCUCGGAACUGCCUUUGAUACUGCAAAUCUCGAGUCCGGAAGAGGCAAGUGGAAUUCCUGGUGUAGCGGUGGAAUGCGCAGAUAUCAGGAGGAACACCCAUAGCGAAGGCAGCUUGCUGGGACGUUACUGACGCUAAGGCGCGAAAGCGUGGGGAGCGAACAGG